rnacentral:rRNA from 1 species
UACGUAGGAUGCAAGCGUUGUCCGGAUUUAUUGGGUUUAAAGGGUGCGUAGGCGGCCUAUUAAGUUAGUGGUGAAAACGUUCUCUUUAACCGGAUACCCGCCAUUGAUACUGAUAGACUUGAGUGCGACAGAGGGUGUUGGAAUGUGUGGUGUAGCGGUGAAAUGCUUAGAUAUCACGCAGAACUCCAAUUGCGAAGGCAGAUGCCUAUGUCGUAACUGACGCUGAGGCACGAAAGCGUGGGGAGCAAACAGG